CCCCUACGCUCCUCCUCCACCUCCUAAUUGGACCCAGCUGUCGGCACUCUUCAUCUACUCUCCAGCCUACUUAAGAGGAGCUCUCCCCAGCAUUCUUCGCCAGUUCGUUGCCUUAACCGGUCCUACCUUCCACGUGCCGACCUGGGUCCUGCCUCGUCUUCCACCUCCUCUUCAUCCAAGCCUAUCUUCUCCUCGUCACGCACCCGCUGUCGAACUCACCUCUUCGAGCCACCCGGCCCGCUCCAGUCUGCCGCUGGUCCUCGCUCCCCAAAGUCUCCAUCUCCACUCCUGGUUCUGGACGUACUCCUUUAUCUCCACGGACAAUAAACCUCUAUUUAUUCCA